ensembl:snoRNA SNORD114-19 small nucleolar RNA, C/D box 114-19
UGGAUCAAUGGUGAAAAUUGCCAGCGUAUGAGUCUUGGAUGAUGAAUUACAUGUGCGUGGAACUCUGACGUCCAA